rnacentral:rRNA from 1 species
CCCUUAGAUGUCCUGGGCCGUACGCGCGCUACACUGAGUGUCUGAGAUACGAGUCUGCCUGGUCCGGCAAGGUCUAGGUAAUCGCUAAAAGACACAUCAUGCUUGGGAUAGAUUAUUGCAAAUAUUAAUCUUGAACGAGGAAUUCCUAGUAAGCGCAAGUCAACAGCUUGCGUUGAUUACGUCCCUGCCCUUUGUACACACCGCCCGUCGCUACUACUGAUUGGAUGUUUAAGCGAGGUUCUCGAACUGCUAGCGACUUAGCUUCGGUGAGGUCGCAGUGUGGGAAGUGAACCUAGCUUUGGUGUCUAGAGGAAGUAAAAGUCGUAACA